GGCAGGAUGGCCGAGUGGUGUAAGGCGCCAGACUCAAGGUUGCCUCCUUCCUGAACAAAAAGUGUCUUCUGGUCUCCAAAUGGAGGCGUGGGUUCAAAUCCCACUUCUGACA
rnacentral:tRNA from 1 species